ACCCGACCCCCAACCCCCAUCCCCAGUUCGAGCCGCCGCCCGAAAGGCCGGGCCGUCGUCUUAGGAGGAGUCGCCGCCGCCGCCACCUCCGCCAUGGAGCUGAUCACCAUUCUCGAGAAGACCGUGUCUCCCGAUCGGCUGGAGCUGGAAGCGGCGCAGAAGUUCCUGGAGCGUGCGGCCGUGGAGAACCUGCCCACUUUCCUUGUGGAACUGUCCAGAGUGCUGGCAAAUCCAGGAAACAGUCAGGUUGCCAGAGUUGCAGCUGGUCUACAAAUCAAGAACUCUUUGACAUCUAAAGAUCCAGAUAUCAAGGCACAAUAUCAGCAGAGGUGGCUUGCUAUUGAUGCUAAUGCUCGACGAGAAGUCAAGAACUAUGUUUUGCAGACAUUGGGCACAGAAACUUACCGGCCUAGUUCUGCCUCACAGUGUGUGGCUGGUAUUGCUUGUGCAGAGAUCCCAGUAAACCAGUGGCCAGAACUCAUUCCUCAGCUGGUGGCCAAUGUCACAAACCCCAACAGCACAGAGCACAUGAAGGAGUCGACAUUGGAAGCCAUCGGUUAUAUUUGCCAAGAUAUAGACCCAGAGCAGCUACAAGAUAAAUCCAAUGAGAUUCUGACUGCCAUAAUCCAGGGGAUGAGGAAAGAAGAGCCUAGUAAUAAUGUGAAGCUAGCUGCUACUAAUGCACUCCUGAACUCAUUGGAGUUCACCAAAGCAAACUUUGAUAAAGAGUCUGAAAGGCACUUUAUUAUGCAGGUGGUCUGUGAAGCCACACAGUGUCCAGAUACGAGGGCGCAUGUCUGUAAUCCCAGCUACUCAGGAGGCUGAGGCAGGAGAAUUGCUUGAACCCGGGAGGUGGAGGU
rnacentral:sRNA from 1 species